CACUUCUCGGCCCUUUGGCUAACAUCAAGUGUA
rnacentral:snRNA from 1 species